CAGCGCUACGAGUGGCAAUCAUGUUUAUUGGGCCUAAAGCGUCCGUAGCUGGUUUGGUAAAUCUUUUGUGAAAUUGCUCAGCUAAACUGAGCAGCGUGCAGAAGAGACUGCCAGACUUGGGACCGGGAGGGGUCAGAGGUAUUCCAUGGGGAGCGGUAAAAUGCUAUAAUCCAUGGAGGACCACCUGUGGCGAAGGCGUCUGACCAGAACGGAUCCGACAGUGAGGGACGAAAGCCAGGGGAGCAAACCGGAUUAGAUACCCGAGUAGUCC
rnacentral:rRNA from 1 species